rnacentral:rRNA from 1 species
UUACUUUUUACUUUGCUAUGACAUGGAAUCUCUAAAAUACUCCAGCAAGUAACAUUGGACAAUAUUGGUAACAAUAAUCCAGCUAUGUAACAAUUUAAUGGCCAACUCAGGUGCCAGCAGCCGCGGUCAUACCUGGAUUAAGUAAAAUACACUUUUCUUUUUCCACUUUAAAGUUUUUAAUAAAGUAAAAUUUUUAAAAAUUCUUAACCAUCUAACAUUUUAAAGAAAUUCUAUUUUUAAAACUAGGAUUAGAUACCCUACUAUUAAGAACAAAAAACAUUCAAGAAAGCACUAAAAUCAACAUGAUUAAAACUUAAAUAAUAUGGCGGCAACUAUAAUUUUUAGGGGAAUUUACACAAUAAUUGACAACCCUCAAGAACGUCCUACAUAUUUUUAUCAUUUGUAUACCGCCGUCUUCAGGUACCAUUUUAGAUUGUACUAUAAUUUUUUUUAAAAAAAGACAGGCCAUGGUGCAGUUUAUAGAUAUGCUGUUGCGAGUUACAAUAAAAUUUGUUUUCGGAGAAACUUUUUAAAAAAAGAUCGUAAGUUGGACUUAAUAGUAAAAAAUAUUAUUCAAUUACUUUUUGAACUUUUUUUUAGUUGUGCACAAAUCGCCCGUCACUCUCGUUGGAAAAAGAGACAAGUCGUAACAUAGUAGGGGUAGUGGAAGCUGUCCCUU